rnacentral:rRNA from 1 species
CCUACGGGUGGCAGCAGUGGGGAAUAUUGGACAAUGGGCGAAAGCCUGAUCCAGCCAUGCCGCGUGUGUGAAGAAGGCCUUCGGGUUGUAAAGCACUUUCAGUGGGGAAGAAAGCCUUGGGGCUAAUACCCACGAGGAAGGACAUCACCCACAGAAGAAGCACCGGCUAACUCCGUGCCAGCAGCCGCGGUAAUACGGAGGGUGCGAGCGUUAAUCGGAAUUACUGGGCGUAAAGCGCGCGUAGGCGGUCUGAUAAGCCGGUUGUGAAAGCCCCGGGCUCAACCUGGGAACGGCAUCCGGAACUGUCAGGCUAGAGUGCAGGAGAGGAAGGUAGAAUUCCCGGUGUAGCGGUGAAAUGCGUAGAGAUCGGGAGGAAUACCAGUGGCGAAGGCGGCCUUCUGGACUGACACUGACGCUGAGGUGCGAAAGCGUGGGUAGCAAACAGGAUUAGAUACCCUAGUAGUC